AGUGAACGCUGGCGGUAGGCCUAACACAUGCAAGUCGAACGGCAGCACAGUAAGAGCUUGCUCUUACGGGUGGCGAGUGGCGGACGGGUGAGGAAUACAUCGGAAUCUACUUUUUCGUGGGGGAUAACGUAGGGAAACUUACGCUAAUACCGCAUACGACCUACGUGUGAAAGCAGGGGAUCUUCGGACCUUGCGCGAUUGAAUGAGCCGAUGUCGGAUUAGCUAGUUGGCGGGGUAAAGGCCCACCAAGGCGACGAUCCGUAGCUGGUCUGAGAGGAUGAUCAGACACACUGGAAAUGAGACACGGUCCAGACUCCUACGGGAGGCAGCAGUGGGGAAUAUUGGACAAUGGGCGCAAGCCUGAUCCAGCCAUACCGCGUGGGUGAAGAAGGCCUUCGGGUUGUAAAGCCCUUUUGUUGGGAAAGAAAAGCAGCAGGUUAAUACCCCGCUGUUCUGACGGUACCCAAAGAAUAAGCACCGGCUAACUUCGUG
rnacentral:rRNA from 1 species